UAUGGUGAAUUUACUCAGAUGUAUGGACCAUCUAAAAAAAAAAUUUACCAGACCAUCGGGCUGACUAGCUGUAAAUUUAGACCGUCCGUCAGAAAACUAGCCCGUCUCGGUCGGUCGGACGAUCCUUAUUGCAUACACUGAAUUUGCUGAAGA